rnacentral:rRNA from 1 species
UACGUAGGGGGCGAGCGUUGUCCGAAGUUACUGGGCGUAAAGCGCGUGUAGGCGGGUUUUUAAGUGAGGGGUGAAAGGUUCGGGCUCAACCCGGACACUGCCUUUCAUACUGGAGACCUUGAGUGCAGAAGAGGCGAGUGGAAUGGUCGGUGUAGCGGUGAAAUGCGUAGAUAUCGAUCGGAACACCCAUGGCGAAGGCAGCUCGCUGGUCUGUGACUGACGCUGAGACGCGAAAGCGUGGGGAGCAAACAGG